AGAUUGCAAAGCUCAGUGACAUUUGACUCUGCUCUUUUGAUGACUGGAUCAUGGAAUGCAGAAGGCAUGUAUGUAUCAUUAUGUGCAUCUCUGAGUGAUGGGCCAUGGCAUCAUGUCACAUCAUGGGAUGACCUUGGACAUGAAUGGAAGGUUCAGAGGAUCCAGUUGAAUGAUGAAAUGGGCACUUUUGCUCACUUUUCAUUGGAUAACAUAGCUUGUGAAAUAUCAAUU
rnacentral:lncRNA from 1 species